GGUUUUUGUUACCCACUGGAUUAGUUUGUUUACCUUUGCGAGUAUUGCUGAAUAUUUAUGGCCAUCUACAGAGAAGAAAUGCGAAGAAAGUAUUGAAAACGACGCCCGCCAAAAAGAUAGAGAGCUGCAAAGACAGAAUGAAAGCGCCUCCAUAAUUCAGCGGGCUUGGCGAAGAUUUAAAUGC